rnacentral:rRNA from 1 species
CCUACGGGUGGCAGCAGUGGGGAAUAUUGCACAAUGGGGGAAACCCUGAUGCAGCGACGCCGCGUGAAGGAAGAAGUAUUUCGGUAUGUAAACUUCUAUCAGCAGGGAAGAAAAUGACGGUACCUGACUAAGAAGCCCCGGCUAACUACGUGCCAGCAGCCGCGGUAAUACGUAGGGGGCAAGCGUUAUCCGGAUUUACUGGGUGUAAAGGGAGCGUAGGCGGUGCAGCAAGUCAGAAGUGAAAGCCCGGGGCUCAACUCCGGGACUGCUUUUGGAACUGUUGAACUAGAGUGCAGGAGAGGUAAGUGGAAUUCCUAGUGUAGCGGUGAAAUGCGUAGAUAUUAGGAGGAACACCAGUGGCGAAGGCGGCUUACUGGACUGUAAAUGACGCUGAGGCUCGAAAGCGUGGGGAGCAAACAGGAUUAGAUACCCGAGUAGUC